UGGGAGUCAUCCGUUGCGAGAGUCCUCAUAACUGAAUUUCUAAAACAACGACUCCUCCUGAUUGCCCUAGCAAAAAAACUAGUGCCCUGAUUUCCUUCACGGAUCCCGUCGAUAUGAGAGUGUUGUCGUAAAUCCAAUUCUUCCAUAAUCCGCAAUUCAGAUAGUUGAUCCUUUAGUUGAGCGCAGUCUUGCUGUAACAAGGUAUUAUCUGAAUCGUUGAGUAGAGUUUUCACUGCUGAAUUUAAUUUGGUAGAAACUUCUCUUAAUUUAAUUGAUGGAUUGCCAUGAAGGAAAGAUCAGUCCUUUAUUGUUGUUUUAACUAUCUUUAAUUUCUUUUGAAGUAUGAACAUUGGAG
rnacentral:lncRNA from 1 species